UACAGAGGUCCCAAGCGUUGUUCGGAUUCACUGGGCGUAAAGGGUGCGUAGGCGGUCGGGUAAGUCUGAUGUGAAAUCCCGCAGCUCAACUGCGGAACGGCAUUGGAUACUAUCCGGCUCGAGGAGUGGAGGGGAGACUGGAAUUCUCGGUGUAGCAGUGAAAUGCGUAGAUAUCGAGAGGAACACCUGUGGCGAAGGCGAGUCUCUGGACACUUCCUGACGCUGAGGCACGAAAGCCAGGGGAGCAAACGGG
rnacentral:rRNA from 1 species